rnacentral:rRNA from 1 species
AGCAGCCGCGGUAAUUCCAGCUCCAAUAGCGUAUAUUAAAGUUGUUGCAGUUAAAAAGCUCGUAGUUGAAUUUCGAGACCGGCUUACUGGUCGUGCUAUUGUACGUACUGGUAUAAUCGGUUUCUCCUUUCUGACGAACUAUAAUGCCAUUAAUUUGGUGUUAUAGGGAAUCAGGACUGUUACUUUGAAAAAAUUUAGAGUGUUUAAAGCAGGCUCACGCUUGAAUACAUUAGCAUGGAAUAACGGAAUAGGACGUUUGAUUCUAUUUUGUUGGUUUCUAGGAUCGACGUAAUGAUUAAUAGGGAUAGUUGGGGGCAUUAGUAUUCAAUUGUCAGAGGUGAAAUUCUUGGAUUUAUUGAAGACUAACUACUGCGAAAGCAUUUGCCAAGGAUGUUUUCAUUAAUCAAGAACGAAAGUUAGGGGAUCGAAGACGAUCAAAUACCGUCGUAGUCUUAACCAUAAACUACGCCGACUAGGGAUCGGAUGAUGUUAAUUUUUUUAAUGACUCAUUCGGCGCCUU